AUUGAACGCUGGCGGCAUGCUUUACACAUGCAAGUCGAACGGUAACAGGUUAAGCUGACGAGUGGCGAACGGGUGAGUAAUGCAUCGGAACGUGCCCGGUCGUGGGGGAUAACACUUCGAAAGAAGUGCUAAUACCGCAUACGAUCUGAGGAUGAAAGCGGGGGACCGUAAGGCCUCGCGCGAUCGGAGCGGCCGAUGUCAGAUUAGGGAGUUGGUGGGGUAAAGGCUCACCAAGCCGACGAUCUGUAGCUGGUCUGAGAGGACGACCAGCCACACUGGGCCUGAGACACGGCCCAGAAUCCUACGGGAGGCAGCAGUGGGGAAUUUUGGACAAUGGGAGCAAGCCUGAUCCAGCAAUGCCGCGUGCAGGAAGAAGGCCUUCGGGUUGUAAACUGCUUUUGUACGGAGCGAAAAGGCUCUCUCUAAUACAGGGGGCUCAUGACGGUACCGUAAGAAUAAGCACCGGCUAACUACGUGCCAGCCGCCGCUGUAA
rnacentral:rRNA from 1 species